CCCUUAGAUGUUCUGGGCUGCACGCGCGCUACACUGAUGCAUCCAGCGAGUUGUAACCUUGCUUGGUAAAGUUUGGUAAUCUGAGCCUAAUGUGCAUCGUGAUGGGAAUAGAGUUUUGCAACUAUUAGUCUUGAACGAGGAAUUCCUCGUAAGCACGAGUCAUCAGCUUGUGCUGAUUACGUCCCUGCCCUUUGUACACACCGCCCGUCGCACCUACCGAUUGAAUGGUCCGGUGAAAUCUCGGGACGGCGGCUUGGUCGCUUGCGUCCGACUGCUGAAACUUGAUUAAACCAUAUCAUUUAGAGGAAGGUGAAGUCGUAACA
rnacentral:rRNA from 1 species